CGAAUCACUACAGUUCCCUUGGAGACAAAGUUCUUGGUGUAGUUGGACAAGCACUCCACCAAACUGUUGGAGGUCAUCAGAAGCAAGGGAGGAGUUGUUAAAGAGAAGACCACCAGGACCUUGCAGGUUUUAGAUGAGCCUGUGGACAUCAGCAUCAGAAGAGAAUGCAUCUUCAAAUCUCUGAUGAUCUACCUUGGUGAACCUGUUGAGCACCUUUUCAAAGAAUACUAGGAUAAUGAGGUUGAAGAACUGGAGCAGACAACCAUGGCGAUCUUUAUCACUGGGAAAGAGGAUCCUCUCCAUCCACCUAAAGACAUUAAAAUUGUUGUCAAAGGAAAAGAAGUCCUGAACGAGUUGCCAUCGGUUGCAACCGCUUUUGCCAUGGUUUUUGGGCUCAUAUAUACACUAAACCUAAAAUAUCCAAAAAGGCUACAGUUCACCUUUGAAUUUGUGCAAAAGGUCCUGAUGGAGCUUGAUGGAAAAAAGAUGACCCCGAAAGUCACUAGACUGACCACCCAGCUGUACAGGGAUUAAUUGUACAAUUGCAUAAUUGUUCAAUUUUAUUGUGUUUUUACAGCCAAGACUUUAGAUCCUUUUAAUAAAAAGGUUGCACUAACAAGGCUGCAUUUUCACUGCAGCAUUUACAAAUGUGGCUGCCCAAGUUCGAUGGCUACCAGGUACAAAGGUCGAUGUAGGCAAAGUGUU